GACAGCAACUGCUGGAAGGAAACAAGAUCAGGAGAGGACCUGUAGAGAUCUGGAAAACAUGGCGUGUCUUUUAACUAUCUGAUGGUCUAUACAAUCCGUCAGUGAAACCUUGUAAAAAGAGGGGGAUGGAAGUCAGAAAACAAUUAUGUGAACAAGAAGCAAAGGAAACGCUCCUCCUUGGAUCAACAGUUCCUGGUGAGGAAUCCACCCAUUCAACUGGCUUGAUCAAUGAGCCAUUACAGAGCUGUUCACAAAAUGACGCCUCUAGACAGAAGCACUACAAUGAAAAAAGAGUAUCAACAGAAGGACUGUAUCUGCAUGCAACUCUGCAGUUGCCAAGAAAUGAAGAUAUAACAUAUGGUCAUUUUGUAAAGUGGCAGACAUCCAUGCAGAGGGUGUCUCUGAGGUGA
rnacentral:lncRNA from 1 species